GUGACAAACAAAUCCGUAAGUGAUGGCACUACCAAUCUUAUAAACUCUUACAGAAUUGCCUAUUCAUAGUAUUAGGGUCAUAGACAUUUAAAAGAUGUAGUAUUUGGUGAUCCAGGGUUCCAUAUGGAGAACAUAUCUCCCCUCUGUGUUAGUUUGCACUUGGGUAGAUUUAAACCCACAUUUCAUUUGUAUCAGGAUAUCAACACAAUUAUG